UACGAACAGUAAAAGGCAAUGGUGGCUAAACAUAAUUUCAGCGAAAUGUUUCGAAUGAAUUGUUGAAGUCCUUGCAGUUGUUUUGAAAUUCAAAUUGGACGUCUGUCUUCUUCACAGCUUACACAUCUCCUGACCAUGGUAAUUGACCUCUACUGGUAAGGGGGAAACAAAAACAUAAGGUUUCCUUGAAUUUUCUUUCCUCUUUCUGAUUUCAGGUAAUUUUGAUAAUUUCAUAAUACAAGUAGUUCAUUCAAUUGAAUCCACGUGUUAUAGCCUAUAGGAGCAAGUAAUCAGCAAUAAUUAUUUUUAAUAAUACAAUUUCAAUUUCAGUAAUGUAUUCGAAAAAACAUACAAUCAAAAUGAUAAAAUACAUGAUUGUAUUCUGUUAUAUUUUUUCUAGGUGCAAAUAAAAUUUAAAAAUGUAGGGUUUUUGUUAUAUGUGUAUAAAGUCGUAAUUGUUGAAUAUACCAU